UGAGGAAUAUUGGACAAUGGGCGCAAGCCUGAUCCAGACAUGCCGCGUGCAGGAAGAAGCAUCUAUGGUGUGUAAACUGCUUUUGUACGGGAAGAAACACUCCUACGUGUAGGAGCUUGACGGUACCGUAAGAAUAAGGAUCGGCUAACUCCGUGCCAGCAGCCGCGGUAAUACGGAGGAUCCAAGCGUUAUCCGGAAUCAUUGGGUUUAAAGGGUCCGUAGGCGGUUUAGUAAGUCAGUGGUGAAAGCCCAUCGCUCAACGAUGGAACGGCCAUUGAUACUGCUAGACUUGAAUUAUUAGGAAGUAACUAGAAUAUGUAGUGUAGCGGUGAAAUGCUUAGAUAUUACAUGGAAUACCAAUUGCGAAGGCAGGUUACUACUAAUGGACUGACGCUCAUGCACGAAAGCGUGGGGAGCAAACA
rnacentral:rRNA from 1 species